ACCGUCUUAGCUCAGCGUAGAGCGUAUGACUUUUAACCAUGUGGUCGUGGGUUCGAUUCCCACAGACGGCG